GAUGAACGCUGGCGGCGUGCCUAAUACAUGCAAGUCGAGCGAACGGACGAGAAGCUUGCUUUUCUGAUGUUAGCGGCGGACGGGUGAGUAACACGUGGAUAACCUACCUAUAAGACUGGGAUAACUUCGGGAAACCGGAGCUAAUACCGGAUAAUAUUUUGAACCGCAUGGUUCAAAAGUGAAAGACGGUCUUGCUGUCACUUAUAGAUGGAUCCGCGCUGCAUUAGCUAGUUGGUAAGGUAACGGCUUACCAAGGCAACGAUGCAUAGCCGACCUGAGAGGGUGAUCGGCCAAACUGGAACUGAGACACGGUCCAGACUCCUACGGGAGGCAGCAGUAGGGAAUCUUCCGCAAUGGGCGAAAGCCUGACGGAGCAACGCCGCGUGAGUGAUGAAGGUCUUCGGAUCGUAAAACUCUGUUAUUAGGGAAGAACAUAUGUGUAAGUAACUGUGCACAUCUUGACGGUACCUAAUCAGAAAGCCACGGCUAACUACGUG
rnacentral:rRNA from 1 species